rnacentral:rRNA from 1 species
CCUACGGGAGGCAGCAGUGGGGAAUAUUGCACAAUGGGCGAAAGCCUGAUGCAGCAACGCCGCGUGAGCGAUGAAGGCCUUCGGGUCGUAAAGCUCUGUCCUCAGGGAAGAUAGUGACGGUACUUGGAGAGUAAACCCCGGCUAACUACGUGCCCGCAGCCGCGGUAAUACGUAGGGGGCUAGCGUUAUCCGGAUUUACUGGGCGAAAAGGGUGCGUAGGUGGUUUGUUAAGUCAGAGGUGAAAGGCUACGGCUAAACCGUAGUAAGCCUUGGAAACUGGGAAACUUGAGUGCAGGAGAGGAGAGUGGAAUUCCUAGGGUAGCGGUGAAAUGCGUAGAUAUUAGGAGGAACACCAGUGGCGAAGGCGGCUCUCUGGAUUGUAACUGACACUGAGGCACGAAAGCGUGGGGAGCAAACAGGAUUAGAUACCCUUGUAGUC